GUGGGGAAUAUUGCACAAUGGGCGAAAGCCUGAUGCAGCCAUGCCGCGUGUAUGAAGAAGGCCUUCGGGUUGUAAAGUACUUUCAGCGGGGAGGAAGGCGAUAGGGUUAAUAACCUUGUCGAUUGACGUUACCCGCAGAAGAAGCACCGGCUAACUCCGUGCCAGCAGCCGCGGUAAUACGGAGGGUGCAAGCGUUAAUCGGAAUUACUGGGCGUAAAGCGCACGCAGGCGGUCUGUCAAGUCGGAUGUGAAAUCCCCGGGCUCAACCUGGGAACUGCAUUCGAAACUGGCAGGCUAGAGUCUUGUAGAGGGGGGUAGAAUUCCAGGUGUAGCGGUGAAAUGCGUAGAGAUCUGGAGGAAUACCGGUGGCGAAGGCGGCCCCCUGGACAAAGACUGACGCUCAGGUGCGAAAGCGUGGGGAGCAAACAGGAUUAGAAACCCCUGUAGUCC
rnacentral:rRNA from 1 species